AUUGAACGCUGGCGGAAUGCCUUACACAUGCAAGUCGAACGGCAGCACGGACUUCGGUCUGGUGGCGAGUGGCGAACGGGUGAGUAAUGUAUCGGAACGUGCACAGUCGUGGGGGAUAACGUAGUGAAAAUUACGCUAAUACCGCAUACGAUCUAUGGAUGAAAGCGGGGGAUCGCAAGACCUCGCGCGAUUGGAGCGGCCGAUAUCAGAUUAGGUAGUUGGUGGGGUAAAGGCCCACCAAGCCAACGAUCUGUAGCUGGUCUGAGAGGACGACCAGCCACACUGGAACUGAGACACGGUCCAGACUCCUACGGGAGGCAGCAGUGGGGAAUUUUGGACAAUGGGCGAAAGCCUGAUCCAGCCAUUCCGCGUGCAGGAUGAAGGCCCUCGGGUUGUAAACUGCUUUUGUACAGAACGAAAAGGUUUCUACUAAUACUAGGAGCUCAUGACGGUACUGUAAGAAUAAGCACCGGCUAACUACGUGCCAGUCGCCGCCGUAA
rnacentral:rRNA from 1 species